CCUACGGGUGGCAGCAGUGAGGAAUAUUGGUCACUGGGCGAGAGCCUGAACCAGCCAAGUCGCGUGAGGGAGUACUGCCCUAUGGGUUGUAAACCUCUUUUGUCGGGGAGCAAAAGCCGGACGUGUCCGGCUGUGAGAGUACCCGAAGAAAAAGCAUCGUCUAACUCCGUGCCAGCAGCCGCGGUAAUACGGAAGGUCCGGGCGUUAUCCGGAUUGAUUGGGUUUAAAGGGAGCGUAGGCCGCACGUCAAGCGUGCUGUGAAAUGUCCGGGCUCAACCCGGGCCUUGCAGCGCGAACUGGCGUGAUUGAGGCCGCGGAAAGCAGGCGGAAUUCGGCGUGUAGCGGUGAAAUGCUUAGAUAUGACGAAGAACCCCGAUUGCGAAGGCAGCUUGCUGCAGCGGAACUGACGCUGAUGCUCGAAAGCGCGGGUAUCGAACAGGAUUAGAUACCCGUGUAGUC
rnacentral:rRNA from 1 species